UUUUUUUUUUUUUUUUUUUUUUUUUUUUUUUUUUUUUCA
rnacentral:ribozyme from 13 species